CUUGGGAAGUUUUUUAUUUUCCAGAGAAGUAAGGACUGGAGUGUGAACUGAAAAGAAGGGAAGACUGAACAGAGGAGCAGAGAUGCUGGGGCAGAGACUGUUGGCCACUGAUGCUGAUGUAGAAACAGCUCUGGGACCCGUAGCCUGCAUGUGGCGUUCCAGUCGCAGUGGCGGCCAGGGUUUGCUGGAGGACAUUGUGCAGAGGGGAAGGAGAAGAGGCGCAGCCAGACCACCCUGCAGCAAGGAGGCACUGGAAAGGAGAUCUAGGAGAAGCAGCUGCUACAGGGAAUGUGAUCUUCCAAGCUGAAAGAAGUGAACAUUUCAGGACUGGCAUGGCUCCCUAGUGGAGAGCUGUGGAGAGAUCAGGAUUCUAAGUAACAAUAAAAUAUCGGAACUGAAGAAUGGCUCAUUUUCUGGGCUAAGUCUUCUUGAAAGAUUGGACCUCCGGAACAAUCUUAUUAGUAAUAUAGAUCCAGGUGCCUUUUGGGGACUGUCUUAGCUAAAAAGAUUGGACCUGACCAACAAUAGGAUAGGAUGUCUGAAUGCAGACAUAUUUCGGGGACUCACCAAUCUGGUUCGGCUAAACCUUUCAGGGAAUUUGUUUUCUUCACUGUCUCAAGGAACUUUUGAUUAUCUUGGCUCAUUGCGGUCUUUAGAAUUUCAGACUGAUUAUCUUUUGUGUGACUGUAACAUACUGUGGAUGCAUCGCUGGGUAAAGGAGAGGAACAUCACUGUACGGACACCAGGUGUGUGUACCCUAAGUCACUGCAAGCUCAGCCAGUCACAGGUGUGAAGCAGGAGCUGUUGACAUGCGGUAAGGAAGAAUCAAAACCGAGAAAGUGUUUACCAUAUUUUGAUUCCUAUUGUGUUUUUCUUGACAAAUUGUAAAAUUCUUUGGAUGGACCUGAAAUACAACUGUUACUCUUAUAGGAU
rnacentral:lncRNA from 1 species